GAUGGUUUGGCACCUCGAUGUCGGCUCGUCGCAUCCUGGGGCUGGAGUCGGUCCCAAGGGUUGGGCUGUUCGCCCAUUAAAGCGGUACGCGAGCUGGGUUUAGAACGUCGUGAGACAGUUCGGUCCCUAUCCGCUGCGCGCGUAGGAAUAUUGAGAAGGGCUGUCCCUAGUACGAGAGGACCGGGACGGACGAACCUCUGGUGUGCCAGUUGUUCUGCCAAGGGCAUGGCUGGUUGGCUACGUUCGGAAAGGAUAACCGCUGAAAGCAUCUAAGCGGGAAGCCUGCUUCGAGAUGAGUAUUCCCACCCCCAUGAGGGGUUAAGGCUCCCAGUAGACGACUGGGUUGAUAGGCCAGAUGUGGAAGCCCGGUAACGGGUGGAGCUGACUGGUACUAAUAGGCCGAGGGCUUGUCCUCAGUUG
rnacentral:rRNA from 1 species